rnacentral:rRNA from 1 species
AGAGUUUGAUCCUGGCUCAGGACGAACGCUGGCGGUGCGCUUAUGCAUGCAAGUCGAGCGAAGCUUUUCAGUAGUUUACUACAGAAAAUGACUGAGCGGCGAACGGGUGAGUAACGCGUGAGCAAUCUACUUUAGUUACAGGGAUAGCCCGAGGAAACUCGGAUUAAUACUGAUAUUCUUUAUUUCUCGCAUGAGAAUAAAAGGAAAGGUCAGCCGAACUAAGAUGAGCUCGCGUUCUAUCAGCUAGUUGGUGAGGUAAAAGCUUACCAAGGCUACGACGGAUAGCUGGUCUGAGAGGACGAUCAGCCACACUGGGACUGAGACACGGCCCAGACUCCUACGGGAGGCUGCAGCAGGGAAUAUUGUGCAAUGAACGAAAGUUUGACACAGCGACACCGCGUGUGGGAUGACGGAUCUAGGUUUGUAAACCACUUUCAGGAGGGAAGAAAAUGACGGUACCUCCACAAGAAGCCCCGGCCAACUACGUGCCAGCAGCCGCGGUAAUACGUAGGGGGCGAGCGUUGUCCGGAUUUAUUGGGCGUAAAGAGCUCGUAGGCGGUUCAACAAGUCGGUCGUGAAAGUUCAGGGCUCAACCCUGAAAUGUCGAUCGAUACUGUUGUGACUAGGAUACGGUAGAGGUGAGUGGAAUUCCGAGUGUAGCGGUGAAAUGCGUAGAUAUUCGGAGGAACACCAAUUGCGAAGGCAGCUCACUGGACCGCUAUCGACGCUGAGGAGCGAAAGCUAGGGGAGCAAACAGGAUUAGAUACCCUGGUAGUCCUAGCUGUAAACGAUGGAUACUAGACGUAGGAACUGGAUUGACGGUUUCUGUGUCGUAGCUAACGCGUUAAGUAUCCCGCCUGGGGAGUACGGUCGCAAGACUAAAACUCAAAGGAAUUGACGG